GCCAGCAUUCGGAAUCACGAUUUGACUCAAAGAGGGCGGGAAAGACUGGGAAUGUCGUGGACCCCCAAAGAAACUUGCUUUAGCAAGUGUCUCAAAUAAAAUCCGCAUACACCUAUGGAAAAUGAAGUGAUAACAUUCCAUGGUGUUAAAGCUGGUAUUUAAGUUGAUGCUGCUGAGUGCGUUUAAACAUCGGAGGAGAGCAAAAUGCAGAAUCUGAAUUCUGAUGAGAGCAGUGUUGUCAGCUCGCCGCUCACAGCCUUAGCCCACAGAGCUGUAGAGGGCGCGGGUGGAUUCAGCUCCACGGCUGCCUCGGAGGGGUCUGGGGACACAGCCCCGGCGGAGCAGGACGGCACAGGACAAAGGAGCGGAGCGCACAGGGGGAGCGCCGCUAGGAAGUGCCGGGGCUGCCGGAGCGCAGGUGACAGCACGCGUCGCAGCGGAGGAGCUGCCAUCCCGCUGCUGCCAUCCCGCUGCUGCCAUCCCGCUGCUGUCACCCCGAGGCGCCAUCCCGGCAACGCUGCGUGGCGUCCCUGCCCGUCCUUCUGAACCUCGCAGCUCCGCCGUCACUGCGGCCGCAGGUUAAAGCCGCCGAAAGUUAGAAAACGUCAGAAAUCACCAAUGUCCCAAGAACCAGGUACACUCUGCAGGACACUGUGGUGUAAUAGAACUUACAGUAAAAAGGAAGACUACUUUUGGUGACCAUUAUCUCAUAAAUCUUCUAUGACAACCUACUGACAGAUGUCAGCAAGACUAUCUGAAAGGCCAGAGGCAUGCAUGGAAACAUGCAUGUAUCUGUAAACAGUGCUGCAUCAGUGCCUGGUGACCUUCCAACCUGCACAUGGACGAUUUCCUUGUGUUCCACACAGGGAAGAAUGCAUGGGGAAUUCUGGCUUCAAAACACUAGCAAGUGUCCAGAACUUGCUAGAACACCUUCCUCAAGGUUUUACAGUAGAAGUACAGGGAGCACAUUCACGUAGAGGUCGAGUGAGUAUCUCUGUAGUUCGCAGAUUCUUGCAAUAUUUCCUUCAAGGAUCAUCCUUCAAGGCUUUGCAGAUGCUCUCUCCUCCCAGGGAGAGCUGAUCAUUCUGCAGCAGUACAGGGACAGCAGGAACACAGAGCUUCUCCUCUAAGUCCUAGGAGAACAAACCAGAGAGAUCCACCAAAACCACAGUCCAGCUUCCACUGAAACUCCAUCUAAGAAGCUAAAAAUUGUUGUCAAACCUCAGGCAUGCAACACCUAAAUUAACUGAACAUUUUCUAUCAAACACCUCCAACAUGCUUGGACAGUGUUCAAGUAAUAAAGGGAUGGAGAUUCAUCUUAAAAAUGGCCAUAAUUUAUAUAAUUUAUUCAACUUCAUCCUCAGCCCAUCAUUCAGCAGGUGAGAUGGAUAAAAAUUUGAAUGCAAAUUCAUCAUGUGUGAACAAGGCUAACUGGGUCAUUCCGGAAAAUAGGAAAAUAUUGCUAAAGUACUGACUUUAAAGCAAAUUUAAACAAGAGUCAUACAUGUCAGUGACAUUUCCCAGUAGCACAAAAAUAGGAGGAUGUCAUUCUGGAGAAAUGGAGUCCCUUGAAUGAAGCAGCAGCAGAAACAGUCACAAUUCACUCUUCCAAGCUGCUGCUUCAUAGGAGCAGGGAAUUGCAGCCAACUCUGUCCUCAGCAAGACCUCCCACAUGGGUGGUGCUGCCACAGAAUCCCGAGUGUAGCAGCUCCCUGCAGGGAUUAUUGUCAGCUCUGUAGGCAGUGAUGCACGGAGCAACAGCAGUGAUGGCAAAGGGCUCCCAGCAGGGCUUAGGCUGCUGCUGGAACUGUGACUCAGGGGAGGGAUAAACCACCUGUGCUUGAGCAAGGCAGGCAAAGGGGGUGAGGGCUGCAAACAUCUCAGGGAAGAGAAACAACAGUGGGCAGCACCGUUCUGAUAAGUGAAACGGGAAGGAAAAAGAAGAAGAAGAAAGAAGGAAGAAGAAAGAAGGAGGAGGAGGACAUAAUCUCAGAAUUUCAUCAGAUAAGGUAGCUCCAUUCCAUAAAUUAUUAAUGGUUAAAAACAGAGAAGGAAUCCUUUUGCAAGGGCAUGGUAAGACCAUUUCCACUGCUGUGGCACCCUGACCAUGGUGGGGAGAGGCAGAGCAGAGAAUGUGGGGAUGGAUCAGGGAAGGUGACUGUGCCAGAGAGGAAGACUUGCUAGUAGGAUGGCAGAGGGAGGGCUGGCAGGCUGGGUAUGACCAGCUGUAAUAAUCCUCUGCAGAGCAAGGAUCAGGAGAAGGCUUGGAACUGCAGGGAAAGAAGCAAGGGAGGGGAGAGAACCUGACAAAGAAACUUUCACAAUUUGUGUAGAAAUCCCAGGUUUGCACUCCUGUGUGGUAUUCCAGAGGCAGGGACACAACUCACAAGGUCUGCCUGACAGCCAGCCCUGAGCCACCACAAACACCUGAGAGACUCCAGGACUCCUUUACACAUCCAAACCCAAAUCCAAAGGGUCCAUGGGGAGCACCUGAAAGCUUAUACAGGGACUGAUCUUCAUCCCAGAUGAGCUCAUUUUCCUUCCCCCAUUCCCCUGUUCCCUCACAGCAGCUGGGAGGUUUGGGAGUGUGCAAAGCACUGCAAGGAGCCAGCUGUAAACUCUGACUUCAGCCAAAGGAAAUUAGUUUUACAGGUGGAAAAGUAGGGUCAGCUUAGUUUCUCUGCUCUGCAAAAGAUCAGAAUACCUCUACAUAAGUUGCUAUUAACUUCUGGUACUGUUUUCAGAAGCUAAAGAAAUAAUGAUAGAUUUCUUUGGAGAGCCCUUGGCUGAAUAAUUUUCCACUUGGAAAGGUAAUGCUGUUCAAAAUGAACUGAUUCCUUAAGUCACAUUUCUUUAGAGACACAGACAAGACUGAAUAUGUUCUAUUGCCAUGCUCUGGAGCAAAUAUUUAAUUUUCCAUAGUGAAUACAGCUUUUCAUCAUAGUAAAACAUCAAAAUCCAAAUAGAAACCCCUUUUGGUCUCCUUGAAGAACAGAAUUCUCAAUUGAGAUUUUCUAUCCAGAGCUGGCCAUGUAGAUUGACUGGAAGUGCAGUUAAAGAUCUGUUUUAACUAAAUGGAAAACCCCAGCAUUUGUUAUAUAUGCGAACACUUUUUCCCUAUUUCAAAGGGGUUUUUUUGGCCUUUCACCCAAGUCACUGACAAGCUGUUACAAAUACAGAAAAUAAAAUAAUACCUCUGAUGUUAGCAAUAGAUAUCUUCCUACUUGUCCCCUUUCUAGACCACCAAUUUAUGCACAGCAGUUACUACUCAAUAGUAGUAGUACUCAAUAGGAGUAGUAACAGCUGAGUUACUACUCAAUAGGAGUAGUAACAGCUGGCCUGCAAGCAAAGCUGAGUUAAUAGAAGAAACAACAAUUGAUGAUUUUUGAGUGUAUCCAUAGCAAGGAAGAAGACAAGGCCAUCAGCAUGGAAACAGAUUAGAAAAGAGACAUGAAAAUUUUUCUAAGCUAGACUACAUGCCUAAGUAGAUGUGUAUAUGGAUCUUUUUAAAUUUCUGUAAAACUUUUGCCAAUUAUAUUGAUGUUAAUUGCUUUGCACCAAUUAAUAUAAUUAGUUAUUGUGAUGUAGAUCAUGCUUUGUUAAGAGUAUAUAAGGUGGAGAACACGCAGAAUAAAAAACUUUUUUCUUCUUGGA